rnacentral:rRNA from 1 species
CUACGGGUUGCUGCAGUGAGGAAUAUUGCACAAUGGGGGGAACCCUGAUGCAGCAACGCCGCGUGGAGGAUGACGCAUUUCGGUGUGUAAACUCCUUUUAUAUGUCAAGAAAAUGACGGUAGCAUAUGAAUAAGCGCCGGCUAACUCCGUGCCAGCAGCCGCGGUAAUACGGAGGGCGCAAGCGUUACUCGGAACCACUGGGCGUAAAGGACGCGUAGGCGGGUUGAAAAGUCAGGUGUGAAAGCCUACAGCUUAACUGUAGAACUGCACUUGAAACUCUCAAUCUAGAGUAUGGGAGGGGCAGAUGGAAUUAGUGGUGUAGGGGUAAAAUCCGUAGAUAUCACUAGGAAUACCUAAAGCGAAGGCGAUCUGCUGGAACAUUACUGACGCUAAGGCGUGAAAGCGUGGGGAGCAAACAGGAUUAGAUACCCUCGUAGUC